rnacentral:rRNA from 1 species
UACGAAGGGUGCAAGCGUUACUCGGAAUUACUGGGCGUAAAGCGUGCGUAGGUGGUUUGUUAAGUCUGCUGUGAAAGCCCCGGGCUCAACCUGGGAAUGGCAGUGGAUACUGGCAAGCUAGAGUGCGGUAGAGGGGUGUGGAAUUCCCGGUGUAGCGGUGAAAUGCGUAGAGAUCGGGAGGAACACCAGUGGCGAAGGCGGCUCACUGGCUCGUAACUGACGCUCAGGCGCGACAGCGUGGGGAUCAAACAGG